GCCGGGCGUGGUGGCGAGCACCUGUAAUCCCAGCUACUCAGGAGGCUGAGGCAGGAGAAUCGCUUGAAUCCAGGAGGCGGAGGUUGCAGUGAGCCAAGAUCGCCACUGCACUCCAGCCUGGGUGACACAGUGAGACUCUGUCUCCA
rnacentral:SRP_RNA from 1 species